rnacentral:RNase_P_RNA from 1 species
CAAGCUAGCCGGGUGAUCGCGGCAGUGGGUCUACGGGCUGCGCUGCUGAGGAAAGUCCGCACUCCAUAGAGCACGGUGCCGGCUAACAGCCGGGCGGGGCGACCCGACGGCAAGUGCAACAGAGAGGUGUAUUGCUCCGCAGCAGUUUCGGCUGCUGCCAGCGAGGGUGAAACGGUGGUGUAAGA